AUACGGAGGAUCCGAGCGUUAUCCGGAUUUAUUGGGUUUAAAGGGAGCGUAGGCGGACGCUUAAGUCAGUUGUGAAAGUUUGCGGCUCAACCGUAAAAUUGCAGUUGAUACUGGGUGUCUUGAGUACAGUAGAGGCAGGCGGAAUUCGUGGGGUAGCGGUGGAAUGCUUAGAUAUCACGAAGAACUCCGAUUGCGAAGGCAGCCUGCUGGACUGUAACUGACGCUGAUGCUCGAAAGUGUGGGUAUCAAACAGGAUUAGAUACCCUUGUAGUCCACACAGUAAACGAUGAAUACUCGCUGUUUGCGAUAUACAGUAAGCGGCCAAGCGAAAGCGUUAAGUAUUCCACCUGGGUAGUACGCCGGCAACGGUGAAACUCAAAGGAAUUGACGGGG
rnacentral:rRNA from 1 species